rnacentral:rRNA from 1 species
GACGAACGCUGGCGGCGUGCUUAACACAUGCAAGUCGAACGGAAAGGCCCUGCUUGCCGGGUGCUCGAGUGGCGAACGGGUGAGUAACACGUGGGUGAUCUGCCCCUUACUUUGGGAUAAGCCUGGGAAACUGGGUCUAAUACUGGAUAGGACCAUGCUGUAGGUGGUGUGGUGGAAAGAUUAGUUUCGGUAAGGGAUGAGCUCGCGGCCUAUCAGCUUGUUGGUGGGGUAAUGGCCUACCAAGGCGUCGACGGGUAGCCGGCCUGAGAGGGUGGACGGCCACAUUGGGACUGAGAUACGGCCCAGACUCCUACGGGAGGCAGCAGUGGGGAAUAUUGCACAAUGGGCGCAAGCCUGAGGCAGCGACGCCGCGUGGGGGAUGACGGCCUUCGGGUUGUAAACUCCUUUCAGCCAUGACGAAGCCUUCGGGUGACGGUAGUGGUAGAAGAAGCACCGGCUAACUACGUG